CAGAAGAUCAGAAAAGUCAUAUCUCAAGACAAAAAAAAAAUAUCUGGAGCUAAAGGAUACAGAAAGAUCGAUCUCUUCAGAAUAUGUUUCAUGUCACCCGAUGAGUUAUGCCGUUAAAUGCUUGUGGAUCAAUGAUCGGGAGAAAAUUUCUUACUCAAUACCUUCAACUUCUUGUUCUAAAGAUAAGUCUUCAAUUUUUCUCACAUUUCUAAAGUUGUAUGCUAUAAUAUAAUAUCCGUUCAUAUUCAAAUGUUGCGUUAUGAUCUAUGUUUGAUUUUACUGAAUGGUUUGAAAAUUUGUAUCAAUACAUACUUGAGGACACAAGCUUUCGUAUACAUACUUGAGGACACAAGCUUUUGUACUUUAGUUGAUUUAUUAUUUAAUCAAAGUUUCGAGAUUGAAUAUAUUAGUGUUUGAUAAUUGGAUGUUUGAAUCUUUACUAAAUUACAAUAUAAUAAUGUUGGUAUCAAUAGCAAUUACCUUUUAUUUGUUGAUUAAAAGGAACCCUCUCAAAGCGUUAUGUGAACUUCAUGAUUUGUUUGUUUUUACUCACUGUAUUUUUGUCCGUUUAUUUUAAUGUUCCUAUGAUUGUAUUGAAUAUUGAUAUCUACAUUUAAGAUCUCUGUCAUGAACUAUUAUUGUUUAGUUUAUUAGAUUAUGAUAACCAGAAACGGUAAAAAGAUCUCCAAUCUUAAAAUUUCUAAUUGAUAUAUCAUUUGUUAUUCAGUACAUAGCUCUCAUUUAUUUUCAAUAUAGUUUGAUUAUUGUUCCAUGAACCUUAAUUCUCUGGUUUGUUUCAGGAGUAAAUGAAAAUGGUUACAAUCUAUACCAAACAAAGGUUCCUCUUAUUAUCAGAUGUGUAUGACUUUGGUUUGCAGACCAGUUUUUUCUUAGAAGACAUUAUAUGAGAAUUGUUUUGAAAUCUGCGUGAUUGAUCCGAGGUUAAUAUGCUGUAUAUAUAGGAAAAAAAGGCCGUGGGUUUAAGAUAUUCCAAAUCAAUACUGUUAAAGUAUAUAAGGCAUGAGUUUAUUAAAAUCAUUAAUCUUGUUAUGAUUGGUUGUUAUUUAUAUUUUGAAGAUAUGAAAAUAAAAAAUUUAACCUGGUAGUUAUGCUUUGGUAUAUUCUUUAUUGUUAUCUAAGGAACCUCCGAAAAUUUAGAUCCUUUUCUUAAAAGAUUGGUGGUACAAACGAUUUAGUAUAUUCGAUAUUGUUAGGUAGGCUCUUCCGGCAAUCAAGUUUAUUUGCCAAGUUUUAAGGUUUUGAUUUAGUGGAUUAUAUUUUUGGUAUUUGAUGUGGGAAAGUUUGGGAUUUAAAUAAUUUGGUCAACUAUAUUUGAAUAAUGCAACAUAUAGGAUUUAUGGUGCAAUCGUUUGUAAGCAAAACUUCUGUUUGGAAGUGACGACUGGUAAAAACAAUGAUAUUAACAGAUAUGUACUGUUUUUAUUUUGAAGUUUGCAGAAUCCAAUAAACGUUCAAGCUUGGUGUUGCUGGAACAUCAUUCUCAAUAUACAAAGAGAUGGUACAUCUAAUCUAUAAAAAAGGAAAAUUAGUGUUGAUGCAAUUGAAGUUUGUUUAAAAUGUAGAUGUUACUUUGUUAUUUAAUGAUACGUUAUGUUUCAUUAGGAAGACAUUAUGUUACUUUUAAAAUAAAAAAAUUACGUAGCUGUAAUGUAGGUGUUUCUGUUUAAAUAAAAAGAAUUUCGAAAAUACUGA